UCUGGUGGUUCUUCCGGCGGGGUCACACCUGUUCCCUUCCCGAACACAGCAGUUAAGCCCGUCAGGGCCGAUGGUAGCCGCAAGGCAAGAGUAGGUCGCUGCCAGAA
rnacentral:rRNA from 1 species